rnacentral:misc_RNA from 1 species
CCGUAACGCGGCGGUCCAGCAGCCCAAAAAACUGCUGGCCGCCACUCGCGUUUAUCACCCUUGAAUUUGAGCACCUUCUGUUUCCUCGGCGGGUUCGCCCGCCAACGAGGACCCCUUGAACUCUUUGUAGUAGCAGUAUUUGUCUGAAAACAAGUUAAUUAAUUA